UGGGGAAUAUUGGGCAAUGGGCGAAAGCCUGACCCAGCAACGCCGCGUGAAGGAAGAAGGCUUUCGGGUUGUAAACUUCUUUUCUCAGGGACGAAGCAAGUGACGGUACCUGAGGAAUAAGCCACGGCUAACUACGUGCCAGCAGCCGCGGUAAUACGUAGGUGGCAAGCGUUAUCCGGAUUUACUGGGUGUAAAGGGCGUGUAGGCGGGAAAGCAAGUCAGAUGUGAAAACCAUGGGCUCAACCUGUGGCCUGCAUUUGAAACUGUUUUUCUUGAGUACUGGAGAGGCAGACGGAAUUCCUAGUGUAGCGGUGAAAUGCGUAGAUAUUAGGAGGAACACCAGUGGCGAAGGCGGUCUGCUGGACAGCAACUGACGCUGAGGCGCGAAAGCGUGGGGAGCAAACAGGAUUAGAUACC
rnacentral:rRNA from 1 species